GCUCAGAUUGAACGCUGGCGGCAAGGCCUAACACAUGCAAGUCGAGCGGAUGAUGAGGAGCUUGCUCCCCUGAUUUAGCGGCGGACGGGUGAGUAAUGCCUAGGAAUCUGCCUGGUAGUGGGGGAUAACGUCCGGAAACGGGCGCUAAUACCGCAUACGUCCUACGGGAGAAAGCAGGGGGACCUUCGGGCCUUGCGCUAUCAGAUGAGCCUAGGUCGGAUUAGCUAGUUGGUGAGGUAAUGGCUCACCAAGGCGACGAUCCGUAACUGGUCUGAGAGGAUGAUCAGUCACACUGGAACUGAGACACGGUCCAGACUCCUACGGGAGGCAGCAGUGGGGAAUAUUGGACAAUGGGCGAAAGCCUGAUCCAGCCAUGCCGCGUGUGUGAAGAAGGUCUUCGGAUUGUAAAGCACUUUAAGUUGGGAGGAAGGGCAUUAACGUUAAUACCUUGCUGUUUUGACGUUACCGACAGAAUAAGCACCGGCUAACUUCGUGC
rnacentral:rRNA from 1 species